rnacentral:tRNA from 1 species
AAUAAAGUGCCUGAUUAAAGGAUUAUUCUGAUAGGAUAAAUUAAGUAAAAUUUUAUUUUUACCUUUAUUA